rnacentral:rRNA from 1 species
CUGGCGGCGUGCCUAAUACAUGCAAGUCGAGCGAAUGGAUUAAGAGCUUGCUCUUAUGAAGUUAGCGGCGGACGGGUGAGUAACACGUGGGUAACCUGCCCAUAAGACUGGGAUAACUCCGGGAAACCGGGGCUAAUACCGGAUAACAUUUUGAACCGCAUGGUUCGAAAUUGAAAGGCGGCUUCGGCUGUCACUUAUGGAUGGACCCGCGUCGCAUUAGCUAGUUGGUGAGGUAACGGCUCACCAAGGCAACGAUGCGUAGCCGACCUGAGAGGGUGAUCGGCCACACUGGGACUGAGACACGGCCCAGACUCCUACGGGAGGCAGCAGUAGGGAAUCUUCCGCAAUGGACGAAAGUCUGACGGAGCAACGCCGCGUGAGUGAUGAAGGCUUUCGGGUCGUAAAACUCUGUUGUUAGGGAAGAACAAGUGCUAGUUGAAUAAGCUGGCACCUUGACGGUACCUAACCAGAAAGCCACGGCUAACUACGUGCCAGCAGCCGCGGUAAUACGUAGGUGGCAAGCGUUAUCCGGAAUUAUUGGGCGUAAAGCGCGCGCAGGUGGUUUCUUAAGUCUGAUGUGAAAGCCCACGGCUCAACCGUGGAGGGUCAUUGGAA